CCAAUUAUAGCCCGUUGAUUUCAUUUAAGACGCUAAAAUGGAAUCCUUUUCAUUUGUUAACU
rnacentral:tRNA from 1 species